rnacentral:misc_RNA from 1 species
GUUGCAUUGAACUUAUCUCAUUUAUAAAUUUUGUUAAUUGUGAUGUGACCUGUGGUUUAUGUUGUAAAUAAAACACGCUGAAGCUUUUCUUUCCCAAUUAUUUAAUUAAAGAAAUUCAUAUGUAAAAACUUUUUGAAAGUGUUAUCCUAAAUCCAUCUUCAUUUAUGUUUAUGGCAAUUUUGAAAUAGUGUAAUAAAUUGGCUUAAUAAAGUCAAGUAAGGCUACAGUUGUUUCUUGCAAAAUAACUUGUCUAUGGAGAAAAUGGUUUAUUUUUUUGUUGUUUGGUUGCAAUACUAAAAAAAUAGGAAAUUACUUUCUGGCAUUUGGAGUAAUAUUGGAGAAUAUUAUUUUUCUUUUAGCAUAUAAGAGUAGGAAAAUAUUAGACUUGUGACAGCAAAAACUGUAAUUUCAGGGUUUCCUUUCGAGAGGAAGAAUAAGAGAGAAAGAAGAAAGUAGUUGCAGAG